UAUAUAAUCUGACAUACACAUGUGUUCUCCCCUUAUUUCUCUUUCUCUUCCUUUUUGACAGUAUGAGUUCUCCAAUCUUUCGUGUUCUUCUACAGUUUUGAUAAUGUUUUCUGGGUCAUCUCCUUGAUUUAUUUUCUAUUUCAAUCUGAUUCAUAAUACUUUUGUUGUUGUGUUUAUGAACAUUGGUUCCCAUUGGUUUGCUAUUGAAGGUGUGCAUGCCCUGUCCUGUCCUAUCUUGCGUAUUUGUAUCUUUAUUUUAUUUUGUUUUUGUUGGGAAGGAGAGAGUUCAGAUCUUUGUCCAGUUUUUGAUUGUUUCCUUAAUGGUUGGAAUCAAGGGGUUUUUGUAUCUAUUUCUACUUUGUUUUGUUUUUCAUAGUGAAAUUACCAUUUUUUUUUGUUUGAUUCUCUCCUUAAUGAUUUAAUUGGUCCUCCAUAUCUCUUUAAGGAUGGAGAUCACUAACCUUGUUGGUCAUUUUGGAAGACCUUGAACUUAGGAUUAGGCCCCAGGUAUGGGACCAGGACCUGGCCUCAGGUUCGAUUUUGUGACCGCCUUGCCCACCCAUCCACCCUCAACCCCAAGAAAAGAAGGAAACAAUAACAAUACAAAAUAUGUAACUUAAUGCCAAGUUCACCUUGAAAUUGUAGAUUACCUCAUAACAGAACGUGUUCAUUGCCUAAAGUAUUCUAGCUGCUUCUCAACACCACAAAACAUUAUAAUUUUACCUAUAUAGGUAGCCCUAUGAAGAAGGUGUUGAACUCUAGGAUCAAUCCUUACCUCACAGGGUCUUAGAUCUGAAUCCACUUGGUGCACGUAAGGCUCAUUUACUACGAGUGGUUACAUGUGAAGACAGAUUGCUGGGUUGGGUGAAACAUGGGCUUGCCUUGGAGAGGUUUCUUGUCAUCAAGAAGAAGAAAAGAAAAUAUAUAUAACAUUCAUUGACAAAGGCUAGGAAAUAAAAUAGGUUUUGCAGUAGCACUGAGACUGCACAGAACUUUGCAUAUCUGUAUGUGUCUAGAGCUUAGUGGACUUAUUUAUCCCUUUGUCAUUUCUAUAUUCUUAUUAUUGGAUCAUUUUGGUAAGCAUUAUGUUUUCUAUUCACAAAGGUUGUUAUGACAAUGUUGUUGUAGUGGCUUCAUUUGGUUGAGGAUGUGUCAUUUUUCUUUUAGCCUAGUUUAUCUUAUUCUUGUUUUAUUCAUUAUUUUUUGUUUCUUCCUUCCAUUUUCUUUUUUUCUUUCUUUCCUUUUACCUUACUCUCUUUAGGACUCAUUCAUAUCUCUUUAAAGAUGAUAUGUCUAAUGGACCACCAUCUAUGGAAAAAAAUCCAAGAAAUAGAUCGAGUGUAAAAUUGAACAUGGUACAGUAUGUGCAUAUUGCAAAAGAUAUUUCCUAAAAAGUUCCCUUUUGUUGAAGGUUUAUGCUUGCAAGUAUCUAUUCUCAUUUCUAAGUACCAAGUGCUACAUGAGUUGCAUGCUGAUAGAGUUAUUGACAUGCAUAAGUGGCCUAUGCUUUGAGUAUACUUGUUUCUGAAAUAUCAUUAUGCACCUUUAUUUAUGAUGCUAAGCAUAUGAGUUAAAAUUUUUACAAGUGUGUGCAGCUUAUGUGGAUAUUGAACUCUUAGUUCGUUACUUUGUUAUGAUGAUAUCAAUUGCUAUAUUUUACUGAUAAGCACCAAGUUAACACCCUUCUCUAGAUUAAAAAGCAGCAAAUAGGAGUAGAACUACAUUGUUAUGGUGCAGAAUUAAGUUUCAUGAAGCUAGUUUUUGAACAUAAACCGGAUUGCAUAUGACUAUUGAAAUUACAUGAAGAUGAGGAUAAGCUCUAUAUUGAGUCUUGAGUAGUGAGAUUACGUGAAGAUGAGCACAUCGUCAUGUAAGUUUUUUUUCAGUUAAGUAACACCCUAUAAGUUUUUGAAUAUACAGACAAAAUACCCAGCACUUUCAUCUUCAUGAACUUCAAAUCCACUACUUUGGUUUGUUUUUGUUUUGUGAUUACAAUGUUUUCCUUUUCAUGUCCUUGCUGUGGAUUGCAUAUUACUAGUGAAACUACAUAGACUGGAGAGAAUGAUGAGAAAAUAAACUAUAUAUAUAUGUUCAAAGUUUAGUAGUUGGAGAAUGAUGAUGUGCAAUGUUCAUAUGACCAAUUUUGAGGAUUGGACAUGAUGUCAUGGUUAACCUCUUCUUCUUUAUCUCUUGUAUAAUUGGUGCAACAUUUUAGAUGGUGAUAUAUGAUUUGAUGUCCCCCUUGGUUAAUGCCCCAGCCUUAGGAUUUUUCAGACUACAUUUGUGUCAUCAAACCAUUGAGUCAAGAAUUUUGUUGAUGGGCAUUCUUGGAAUUUGGUAUUUAAGGUUUGAUUAAUCCAGAAUAGCUUUAUUAUUCAUUACACACAUUUGCAACAGAAAAAAUCAAUAAUUUACAUUUGCAAAUUGUAGGAGUUUGGAUUAGGAUAGAUUAAUUUAACUUUUUUUGGUUUGUUUUGCUUUGCUUUACAUUACAGAAGAAUUGGUCUUGGGAGAGUGAAUUGGAAAAUCAAAUAAGAAUAAAUUUUGAAAAGACGGCCUCUGAUCGUUUAACCGACCUUCUGUUCCAUGUGAGGAGGGACUUGACAAAAAACCAUCUUGGAUGUGUUCUAUUGUAUUUGAAGCACUCUAGGAGUAUUGGAAUACUCUAGAAUUUAAGAACAAAUCAAAAAAGGCCAAGAAAAAUCGAUCCUCAAAUGUCGGAGGUAGUAAGCAUACCUGUGGUUCCAUCCCUAUGUUUGAGCAUAAGAAAAGACUAGUAAUAUUUGAUAUUUUUUGUUAUUUUCAUUUUACUUAAUUACUUAAAUAUGGUUGCAUGAACAUUUUAUUUUUUUCCCCUUAUAGUCUAAGCUAUUUGGUCGCCCACCUACACAGGCUGAGUUAUUCAUUGCUAUGCACCAAAGUAUGCUUAUUACAAUACUUGCGACGCACCAAAGUAGAUCCAAGGAAACUUAUGCUGACUUGCAGAUGCAACAACAUGAUGCAUCAUCACAAUCAUCAACAGUUGGCCCAGCAGAAGAUAGCGAUGCUGCUGGAUAGCCCUUGCAGCCAGCUUUUGAUGAGACAUCAUUAUGGUUGGAGGUUGCAGGCAGGAAAAAGAAGGGUCGUGUGUAUGGGAUGGGGUCAGAAGCACAUGUCAUCCCUGGUUCCUAUCAUGUGUUGUCACCAUCACCAUCGCCUCUACAGUCGUUGUCGAUCUCACUGGCAGACCAAAUUCAACAAGCUGUUAACGUAGCUAUAGAACCAUUUCACGAUCGUUAGUCAGCCAUAAAAGAAAGAUUGCAUAACCCUUCUUCAUCGUCGCCACCCUCAAAUCCUUUGGAUCAUUAGGAGGAUCCGUCAUUGCCAUGGAUAAAUAUUACAUUGUAUUAUUUUUACUAUUCAUAGAUGGUGUGAUUUAUUAAUAUUGUAUGGAUUUCUUGUAUGAAUUUAAUAUUAUAUGAUUUAAUAUUGUGUA